ACAUGAACUUCCUUGCUCAGCACUAGGGCACUGGGGGAGAAGCAGGAAGGGCAAUGUUGCAAACCCAUUCCGCAGGUGAGGACACACAGCCCGGGAGGGAAAAGCCGCCUGCCUGAGGUGACACCAGGGCUAAGCAGCAGCACGUGGCAAAGACUGGGGGCUCCCCUCUCAGCUCAGAGCCCCCUCCUCAGCCAGGACUGUCUGGACCCGCCAGGGAGGCAGCUGGAUGCUAAUUGAUAUUCUGCCCGGGACUGCUUGGAAUGGAAUAAAAUAUUUAUCUGUGGCUGGAGGUUUGCAGAGGACAUUUAAGAUGGAUCGCGUUCUCAUGUGCCUAUGAAAUCUAAUUGGAUUCAUUGUAGGAUAUUUGGUUUCUCGGAACAGGCAUAUCAUUUUCUCAGGGAGCGGCAGCCUCUGCCGCCCAGGAUUGGAUGGGUGCUGUUUUGGCCUCAGGCUGCCCAAUUGGCCGGGGCCAGGUUAGGUCUCUGGUUGCUGGGUUGACUGGCCUCUCUGUGGGAUGGCCUGAUUUCCUCUGAGGUUCCCAGCCACAGAAAGCCAGUUUUUCCGGCAAAGGGGGGAAUUCCUCAAGAAAGCACAUUGCCCCUCACCUCUGAUUCCCCGCUGGCCCCCCAGCGCCCGGUGACAGCUGCCUGGUGGCCUCCAAAACAUCUCGAAACUCCGCACCUGGUUUUCAUCGCCAUUGCCACAGCCACCCCCUCCUUCACUCCCAUUCCCCUGUUCCAGGCACGUCACUGGUCUUCUGCCCCCAGAUUCCCCCCACUCCAGAGUGCGAAAGAUCUUCCUAAAGUAU
rnacentral:lncRNA from 10 species